UAAAAUUUGAGUGAUGAUUUAAUUUAGUAAAAUAUUAAAAAAAAUUACAGAUGAGAAAAGUAAUUGAAAAAAAUUACAUCAAACUUUACUUCUAUGGUCUCUACAUGAGCCUCAAUUAUAAGAUGCACCAUUAGUGUUAUACCAUAAUUGAAAAGGAGACAAUAUGAGUUCAGACAAUUAUUAAAAAUAAAAAGCAAUAAUUUUAUCAUGACAAAAAACUAUUUUGUUUGUAUACUAAGAGAUUAAUUCCUUUAUUUAUGAAAACAAAUAGUAAAACAGUAACAGUAGGGUAAUCUUGUAUAUAAAUGAAGUUUGGAGUCCUUAUUUUUUAGACCACUUUGAAGUUUGUUUGAACCUCUUUCACCUCCUUGAUUAAUGGCUUCCCAGUCUCAAUCUCAAUCUCAAUCUCAAUCUCAAUCUCAAUCUCAAUCUCAACCUCAAAUCAAGCUCAUCGUUUCAACAUCAUCAUCACCCAAAAGUGACAGUGGAAUCGGUGGUGAUGCAGCGGCGUCGUUUCCCAAAGGACGGUGUCUAUGUUCACCAACGACACACGAAGGCUCUUUCAGGUGUCGUUUUCAUCGUUCAGGGUCAUUUUCGUCAUCUGCACCUCCACCUUGGAUGAAAAGGACCAAAUCAAUGCCUCCUAAUCAUAAUAAGUCUGUUGUUUCUGUUUCUCCACAGUGAGUCAUAUAUGUUUUCCUGUGUACCUUGUAAGUACGAUGAUGCUCUGUUUCUCAUCAUGUCUAUGCUUAUAUGUUGUUAAUCGAUCAUUAACUACUUUAAGCUUAUGUAAAGGUUAUGAAUUACAUGUAUAUUAUAAUUACGUAUAUUUUUCUUCUUCCUUCGAUAUACUCCGCACUACUACUAAAUUGGAUAUUAUAUAUAAUUAUGUUUUGAAUUGAUUUUCGCAACAGUUCUGUUAUCUACUAUCAACAUGAUGAUACCUAAAGCAUAAUAACUUCGAUCCAUUUGUAGAAUUAUAUACUUUUUUCUUUAAGGACGGUAGAAUUAUAUAGUUCUUCAGAUAAUAAUGUUAUAAUGUGUGAUUUAAUAUUAAUAAGAAAGUGAAAGAAAGAUUAAUCCAUAUAUUAACAAUCAUUUAUUUGUGAUAUACAAGUUACAAAGUUGUUUGUCGC
rnacentral:lncRNA from 1 species